AUCCAAGCCUACCAGGGGCACAUAAACACUAUACACAUGCAGUGUAAACCCCUCAAUGACCAACUUAACCGUCAUCAGCCUAUCAUUGAUCCUCUUAACCUUCACCACCCACCCUCUAAGCUCCUCAUCCACUAAGAUGCCCACUUCAUUUCAAUGCCUGUCACUACCUGAGUACCACAGCUUGUACCCAUCCACAUCCCUAGCCUUAGACCCUACCCACUU
rnacentral:lncRNA from 1 species